rnacentral:rRNA from 1 species
AAGAGGGAGAAGUGGCAACCUUCCCAAGUGUAGCAGCUGAUAAUGCGUAGAGAUGUGGGAGGCAACAGCCAGUGACGAAGGUGACUUUCUGGUCUGUAACUGACCGCUGAGGCGCGAAAGCGCGGGGAGCAAACAGGAUUCAGAUAGCCGUGGUAGUACACGCCGUAAACGAUGAGUGCUAAGUGUUAGGGGGGUUUCUGCCCCUUAGUGCUGCAGCUAACGCAUUAAGCACUCCGCCUGGGGAGUACGGUCGCAAGACUGAAACUCAAAGGAAUUGACGGGGGCCCGCACAAGCGGUGCAGCAUGUGGUUUAAUUCGAAGCAACGCGAAGAACCUUACCAGGUCUUGACAUCCCGUUGACCACUGUAGAGAUAUAGUUUCCCCUUCGGGGGCAACGGUGACAGGUGGUGCAUGGUUGUCGUCAGCUCGUGUCGUGAGAUGUUGGGUUAAGUCCCGCAACGAGCGCAACCCUUGAUCUUAGUUGCCAUCAUUUAGUUGGGCACUCUAAGGUGACUGCCGGUGACAAACCGGAGGAAGGUGGGGAUGACGUCAAAUCAUCAUGCCCCUUAUGACCUGGGCUACACACGUGCUACAAUGGACGAUACAAACGGUUGCCAACUCGCGAGAGGGAGCUAAUCCGAUAAAGUCGUUCUCAGUUCGGAUUGUAGGCUGCAACUCGCCUACAUGAAGCCGGAAUCGCUAGUAAUCGCGGAUCAGCAUGCCGCGGUGAAUACGUUCCCGGGCCUUGUACACACCGCCCGUCACACCACGAGAGUUUGUAACACCCGAAGUCGUAGAGGUAACCUUGA